rnacentral:rRNA from 1 species
UACAGAGGGGGCAAGCGUUGUUCGGAAUUACUGGGCGUAAAGGGCGCGUAGGCGGCCUUCUAAGUCGAACGUGAAAUCCCUGGGCUCAACCCAGGAACUGCGUCCGAUACUGGAAGGCUUGAAUCCGGGAGAGGGAUGCGGAAUUCCUGGUGUAGCGGUGGAAUGCGCAGAUAUCAGGAGGAACACCGAUAGCGAAGGCAGCUCGCUGGGACGGUACUGACGCUGAGGCGCGAAAGCGUGGGGAGCGAACAGG